AUUGAACGCUGGCGGCAGGCUUAACACAUGCAAGUCGAACGAGUGGCGGACGGGUGAGUAAUGCUUGGGAAUCUAGCUUAUGGAGAGGGAUAACUACGGGAAAAUGUAGCUAAUACCGCGUACCAUAGGAUGAGCCCAAGUGGGAUGAGGUAGUUGGUGAGGGAAAGGCUCACCAAGCCGACGAUCUCUAGCUGUGCUGAGAGGAUGACCAGCCACACUGGGACUGAGAACCGGCCCCGACUCCUACGCGAGUCAUCAGUGGGGAGUAUUGCGCAAUGGGGGCAACCUGACGCAGAACGGCAGCGUGAAUGAAGAAGGCUUUCGGGUUGUAAAGUUCUUUCGGUAGCGAGGCGUUAACUACAGAGGAAGCACCGGCUAACUCCGUGCCAGCAGCCGCGGUAAUAC
rnacentral:rRNA from 1 species